rnacentral:rRNA from 1 species
CCUACGGGAGGCAGCAGUAGGGAAUAUUGCUCAAUGGGGGAAACCCUGAAGCAGCAACGCCGCGUGGAGGAUGAAGGUUUUCGGAUUGUAAACUCCUUUUGUUAGAGAAGAUAAUGACGGUAUCUAACGAAUAAGCACCGGCUAACUCCGUGCCAGCAGCCGCGGUAAUACGGAGGGUGCAAGCGUUACUCGGAAUCACUGGGCGUAAAGAGCGCGUAGGCGGGAUAGCAAGUCAGAUGUGAAAUCCUAUGGCUUAACGAUAGAACUGAAUUUGAAACUGUUAAUCUAGAGUAUGGGAGAGGUAGGUGGAAUUCUAGGUGUAGGGGUAAAACCCGUAGAGAUCAAUAGGAAUA